rnacentral:rRNA from 1 species
GACGAACGCUGGCGGCGUGCUUAACACAUGCAAGUCGAACGGAAAGGCCCUGCUUUUGUGGGGUGCUCGAGUGGCGAACGGGUGAGUAACACGUGAGUAACCUGCCCUUGACUUUGGGAUAACUUCAGGAAACUGGGGCUAAUACCGGAUAGGAGCUCCUGCUGCAUGGUGGGGGUUGGAAAGUUUCGGCGGUUGGGGAUGGACUCGCGGCUUAUCAGCUUGUUGGUGGGGUAGUGGCUUACCAAGGCUUUGACGGGUAGCCGGCCUGAGAGGGUGACCGGCCACAUUGGGACUGAGAUACGGCCCAGACUCCUACGGGAGGCAGCAGUGGGGAAUAUUGCACAAUGGGCGGAAGCCUGAUGCAGCAACGCCGCGGGCGGGAUGACGGCCUUCGGGUUGUAAACCGAUUUCGAAUGUGACGAAGAGUGAGUGACGGUAAUGGGUAAAGAAGCACCGGCUAACUACGUG